rnacentral:rRNA from 1 species
UACGUAGGGGGCUAGCGUUGCUCGGAUUUAUUGGGCGUAAAGAGCGUGUAGGCGGCCAGGUAGGUCUGCUGUGAAAACUCGAGGCUCAACCUCGAGACGUCGGCGGAAACCAUCUGGCUAGAGUCCGGAAGAGGAGAGUGGAAUUCCUGGUGUAGCGGUGAAAUGCGCAGAUAUCAGGAAGAACACCCGUGGCGAAGGCGGCUCUCUGGGACGGUACUGACGCUGAGACGCGAAAGCGUGGGGAGCGAACAGG